rnacentral:rRNA from 1 species
GAGUUUGAUCCUGGCUCAGAUUGAACGCUGGCGGCAUGCCUUACACAUGCAAGUCGAACGGCAGCACGGGAGCUUGCUCCUGGUGGCGAGUGGCGAACGGGUGAGUAAUGCACCGGAACGUAUCCUGGAGUGGGGGAUAACGUAGCGAAAGUUACGCUAAUACCGCAUAUUCUGUGAGCAGGAAAGCGGGGGACCUUCGGGCCUCGCGCUCUUGGAGCGGCCGAUGUCGGAUUAGCUAGUUGGUGAGGUAAAGGCUCACCAAGGCGACGAUCCGUAGCAGGUCUGAGAGGAUGAUCUGCCACACUGGAACUGAGACACGGUCCAGACUCCUACGGGAGGCAGCAGUGGGGAAUUUUGGACAAUGGGGGCAACCCUGAUACCAGCCAUGCCGCGUGAGUGAAGAAGG